UGCGAGUGGGCCACAGAGCGCUGGGAACUCUCGGUGACAUGGGAACCCUGCGGUGAGUCUGGAUUGUCUUACAUGCCAGAAAAGAGCAAUAGUUUUGAGUGGCCUGGUCUUCAGUUAACACUCCCAUUUGAUUUCUUCCUGAGUACAAGACAUCAGUUGCCAAGUCCUGUUGGCCGAGGUGGAUUGACCACAAGGUUAAUAAAAUUUAAGCGUCAGGAACCCUCACUUGCAUCGUCCCCUGCAUGGACCUGGAGGCGCCCCAGCCAUCAGUUCGUGUGAACACGUCUUUUGUAAAAUUUGCACAAGCGAGGGGUCAGCAAGGGACUUCCAAAUGCGGACCAGAGGGAGUCACUCUCCCUGACUGCCCCAGACAGGUCUGGUGAUUGGUGAGAGCAGGAGAAUGAAACGCGCUUUCCUCAGGGCUCUGUGAACUGCGUCAGGGGCCCCGGGCCCACUGGAAGGAGACCCCCUGGGAGGAACAAGGAGCAAGCAGCACCCAAACACACACACUGACUCCAAGGCCUCUCGCCCACCUGAGGCCAAACGGGGCAGGAGGCACAGGAAAUGGGGAGGGCCCGCAGCUGGGGACACAGCCACGCAGAGCUCCAGAUCCCAAACUUCUCCUCGUAGGUGGGAGAAGACAGGAAUAAUUUUAGCUUUUGAAACUGUAAAUCUGCCCAAAGCAUUGGUUUGGCUGACAGGAUGGAAAAUUCUUAGGGUUAAAAUUCAAAUAAGAAUAAUAGCACUGGAGUCAUGAGUGUAGUUUUAUUUAAAUUAUGCUCCCAGAUCUCUGUGAAGUCAAUCCAAAACAUAAUUAAUGCUGUUUUAUUUUAUACUACAGAGGAAAAGUUUUGAUUGUAAGGGUACACACACACACACACACACACACACACACACACACCCCCGUGAGUGCACACAGAAUACAAUAUACACAUAUAUUUGCCAUGCAGAAGGAACAGGAAGAUGAAAUACGUUCCCAACUUGGCAGUAAAUGUCCAGUGAAGGAAGCCUCUGAGCCGUCCACACGGCAGUGUCCUGGGCCGGCACGUGCACAGAGCCCAGCGUGUCCCUCCACUGCCCUGUAAACCUGGCAUGCUUCCUCUCCCCUCUGUCUUCUGUCUUCUCUUCUCUUCUCUUCUCUUCUCUUCUCUUCUCUUCUCUUCUCUUCUCUUCUCUUCUCUUCU